rnacentral:rRNA from 1 species
AUUUUAAUUGAAGGGCUGCAGUAUAUUGACUGUACAAAGGUAGCAUAAUCAUUAGUCAUUUAAUUGGUGACUUGUAUGAAGGAUUGGAUGAGAUAUAAUCUGUCUCUUAAUUAUUGAAUAGAAUUUAAUUUUUUAAUUAAAAAGUUAAAAUAUGUUAAAAAGACGAGAAGACCCUAUAGAGUUUUAUAAUUUAAGAUAAUUAAGAUUAUUUAUAAAAUAAAAAUUGAAAUUAUUUUAUUUAUUUUGUUGGGGUGACAGAAAAAUAUAAAAAACUUUUUAUAUAGAAAAACAUUGAUAAAUGAUUAGAUGAUCCAAUAUUAUUGAUUAUAAGAAAAAAUUACCUUAGGGAUAACAGCGUAAUUUUUUUUUUUAGUUCGUAUAAAAAAAAGAGUUUGCGACCUCGAUGUUGGAUUAAGAUAAAAUUUAAAUGCAGAAG